AACGAACGCUGGCGGCAGGCCUAACACAUGCAAGUCGAGCGAACUCUUCGGAGUUAGCGGCGGACGGGUUAGUAACGCGUGGGAAUAUGCCCAAAGGUACGGAACAACAGCUGGAAACGGCUGCUAAUACCGUAUGUGCCCUACGGGGGAAAGAUUUAUCGCCUUUGGAUUAGCCCGCGUUGGAUUAGGUAGUUGGUGGGGUAACGGCCUACCAAGCCUACGAUCCAUAGCUGGUUUGAGAGGAUGAUCAGCAACACUGGGACUGAGACACGGCCCAGACUCCUACGGGAGGCAGCAGUGGGGAAUCUUGGACAAUGGGGCAACCCUGAUCCAGCCAUGCCGCGUGAGUGAUGAAGGCCUUAGGGUCGUAAAGCUCUUUCAGCUGGGAAGAUAAUGACGGUACCAGCAGAAGAAGCCCCCGGCUAACUCCGUGCCAGCGCCGCGGUAAU
rnacentral:rRNA from 1 species